AGUGAACGCUGGCGGUAGGCCUAACACAUGCAAGUCGAACGGCAGCACAGUAAGAGCUUGCUCUUACGGGUGGCGAGUGGCGGACGGGUGAGGAAUACAUCGGAAUCUACUUUUUCGUGGGGGAUAACGUAGGGAAACUUACGCUAAUACCGCAUACGACCUACGGGUGAAAGCAGGGGAUCUUCGGACCUUGCGCGAUUGAAUGAGCCGAUGUCGGAUUAGCUAGUUGGCGGGGUAAAGGCCCACCAAGGCGACGAUCCGUAGCUGGUCUGAGAGGAUGAGCAGCCAGACUGGAACUGAGACACGGUCCAGACUCCUACGGGAGGCAGCAGUAGGGAAUAUUGGACAAUGGGCGCAAGCCUGAUCCAGCCAUACCGCGUGGGUGAAGAAGGCCUUCGGGUUGUAAAGCCCUUUUGUUGGGAAAGAAAAGCAGCAGGUUAAUACCCCGCUGUUCUGACGGUACCCAAAGAAUAAGCACCGGCUAACUUCGUG
rnacentral:rRNA from 1 species